UCUCUGUAAAAUUUAAAAAUAUCAAAAAACAUAAACACGAGUUUAACCAAAAAUAGAACAAUAUGAGUAAUUGUGUAAUAUCAAUUAAACAUCCAUAGGUAACAACAGUUGUUCACUCACAACCUUAAUAAUCUAGAAAAAUUUCAAGUACUUAUUUGCCCACAAUUGUGUUGCAUUUAGUCAUUGCAUUGAUUUUGCUAAAGUUAAUCUUUUUCUUAUUAUAGAGGAGUGUAUUUAAAUGCUUGUAUAAAACUGUUAAUUAUGACAUGGAUGGAGUAUCAAAUUCUUAUGUAACAAAUAUCUUAACCUUAAGUCAUUGGUAUAUCAUAUAUGAAUUAAUAAAAAUAUUAUCUUUUUAUAUCAUACAUGGAUAUGUAAGUCAAUUCAAAUAAAUUGCAAACUUACUUGUUAUUGCUAUUGAAAAGCACAAGGGAAACAGGUUGCUGAGGUGACAGGUAAAACAACUGCACGACUAUGUACACACAUGUACCAAUGCUGUGAAAGAGUUAUAUGAAGUGAGACAAAACUUGAUUGGGGUUUUUUGAACGGUUUGAAAACUUCGUUGGGCUUUUAAGUCAUUUUCCCUUUAUGUUUUGGAUCAUACGGAUAAAGUGACAAUCAUGAAAGAGAUGUCGAUCCAUGAUGCUAUCCCACACCUAGCAAUUCAACCAUUUAAUAUUGUCAACUUUACAUUGCAAUUUGCAAGUGAAAGAAAAGCAUGAGAAAAGAUUGAAGAUUAAAAGAGAAGAAAAUUUACGCGGAGAAUAAUUGGGAAUGGAAUUGUGAUCCAUCAACAAUAAGCACAUAAACAAAAGUUCCCAGCAUCAAGCAGCCAAGUGCAGAAAUGAUUACUCUUGUAGUUAAAAUAGAAGGUCCCCUCUUGUAUCCCAUUAUGGCAUCCCUAAGCCAAUGUAUAAAUAAUUUUAAAAACAUCGUUUUACGUGAUGUGAUUUCAAGCUCAAAUGCAUGUAUCAUUUUGCAACCAAGCAUUUAUUAUCAUUGGACAAAAUAAGAAGGAUAUGUGGAAUGACAA